rnacentral:rRNA from 1 species
AUUGAACGCUGGCGGCAUGCUUUACACAUGCAAGUCGAACGGUAACAGGCCGCAAGGUGCUGACGAGUGGCGAACGGGUGAGUAAUGCAUCGGAACGUGCCCAGUCGUGGGGGAUAACGCAGCGAAAGCUGCGCUAAUACCGCAUACGAUCUGUGGAUGAAAGCGGGGGACCGUAAGGCCUCGCGCGAUUGGAGCGGCCGAUGUCAGAUUAGGUAGUUGGUGAGGUAAAGGCUCACCAAGCCGACGAUCUGUAGCUGGUCUGAGAGGACGACCAGCCACACUGGGACUGAGACACGGCCCAGACUCCUACGGGAGGCAGCAGUGGGGAAUUUUGGACAAUGGGGGCAACCCUGAUCCAGCAAUGCCGCGUGCAGGAAGAAGGCCUUCGGGUUGUAAACUGCUUUUGUACGGGACGAAACGGCUCCGGUUAAUACCCGGAGCUAAUGACGGUACCGUAAGAAUAAGCACCGGCUAACUACGUGCCAGCCGCCGCAGUAAAAC